UCAAUCUCUUAACAACUGAAACAUGUUUAUGCAAAGAGCAGAUAUGGCAUGGGAAUCCGUGGUUCAGGAUUCUCCAGCAAGUCCUGCCAAGGUCUCUUUACUCUUGUUCUGGAAGAACCACUUCUGGUAACAACAGUAAUUUAGUUCUUUGCCUAUUCAAAUUUUGUUUUU
rnacentral:sRNA from 14 species